GACUUUAGCAUAAAUACUCUGAAGGCACCAAGCUUUGUCUGAUCUUAGAGGCUAAUCAAAAUAAGUUUUGCUUAGUACUUCAGUGGGUGACCACCAAGGAAUGUUAAGUGUUGUAGGCU
rnacentral:rRNA from 1 species